UACGUAGGGAGCAAGCGUUAUCCGGAUUUAUUGGGUGUAAAGGGUGCGUAGACGGGAUUACAAGUUGGUUGUAAAACCCCUCAGCUCAACUGAGGAACUGCAACCAAAACUAUAAUUCUUGAGUGCAGGAGAGGAAGGUGGAAUUCCUAGUGUAGCGGUGAAAUGCGUAGAUAUUAGGAAGAACACCGGUGGCGAAGGCGGCUUUCUGGACUGUAACUGACGUUGAGGCACGAAAGUGUGGGGAGCAAACAGG
rnacentral:rRNA from 1 species